rnacentral:rRNA from 1 species
GACGAACGCUGGCGGCACGCUUAACACAUGCAAGUCGAACGAGAACCUCGGAGCUUGCUCCGGGGGGACAGUGGCGAACGGGUGAGUAACACGUGAGGAACCUGCCCCGAAGACCGGGAUAACACCGGGAAACCGGUGCUAAUACCGGAUGCCCUCAUCGGACCGCAUGAUUCGAUGAGGAAAUGGAUUCCGCUUCGGGAUGGCCUCGCGGCCUAUCAGCUUGUUGGUGGGGUAACGGCCCACCAAGGCUUCGACGGGUAGCUGGUCUGAGAGGAUGUCCAGCCACACUGGGACUGAGACACGGCCCAGACUCCUACGGGAGGCAGCAGUGGGGAAUCUUGCGCAAUGGGCGAAAGCCUGACGCAGCGAUGCCGCGUGCGGGAUGAAGGCCUUCGGGUUGUAAACCGCUUUCAGCAGGGACGAAAUUGACGGUACCUGCAGAAGAAGCCCCGGCCAACUACGUGCCAGCCGCCGCUGUAAGAC